rnacentral:rRNA from 1 species
AAAUUGAAGAGUUUGAUCAUGGCUCAGAUUGAACGCUGGCGGCAGGCCUAACACAUGCAAGUCGAGCGGUAGCACAGAGAGCUUGCUCUCGGGUGACGAGCGGCGGACGGGUGAGUAAUGUCUGGGAAACUGCCUGAUGGAGGGGGAUAACUACUGGAAACGGUAGCUAAUACCGCAUAACGUCGCAAGACCAAAGUGGGGGACCUUCGGGCCUCAUGCCAUCAGAUGUGCCCAGAUGGGAUUAGCUAGUAGGUGGGGUAACGGCUCACCUAGGCGACGAUCCCUAGCUGGUCUGAGAGGAUGACCAGCCACACUGGAACUGAGACACGGUCCAGACUCCUACGGGAGGCAGCAGUGGGGAAUAUUGCACAAUGGGCGCAAGCCUGAUGCAGCCAUGCCGCGUGUAUGAAGAAGGCCUUCGGGUUGUAAAGUACUUUCAGCGGGGAGGAAGGCGAUAAGGUUAAUAACCUUGUCGAUUGACGUUACCCGCAGAAGAAGCACCGGCUAACUCCGUGCCAGCAGCCGCGGUAAUACGGAGGGUGCAAGCGUUAAUCGGAAUUACUGGGCGUAAAGCGCACGCAGGCGGUCUGUCAAGUCGGAUGUGAAAUCCCCGGGCUCAACCUGGGAACUGCAUUCGAAACUGGCAGGCUAGAGUCUUGUAGAGGGGGGUAGAAUUCCAGGUGUAGCGGUGAAAUGCGUAGAGAUCUGGAGGAAUACCGGUGGCGAAGGCGGCCCCCUGGACAAAGACUGACGCUCAGGUGCGAAAGCGUGGGGAGCAAACAGGAUUAGAUACCCUGGUAGUCCACGCCGUAAACGAUGUCGAUUUGGAGGUUGUGCCCUUGAGGCGUGGCUUCCGGAGCUAACGCGUUAAAUCGACCGCCUGGGGAGUACGGCCGCAAGGUUAAAACUCAAAUGAAUUGACGGGGGCCCGCACAAGCGGUGGAGCAUGUGGUUUAAUUCGAUGCAACGCGAAGAACCUUACCUGGUCUUGACAUCCACAGAACUUUCCAGAGAUGGAUUGGUGCCUUCGGGAACUGUGAGACAGGUGCUGCAUGGCUGUCGUCAGCUCGUGUUGUGAAAUGUUGGGUUAAGUCCCGCAACGAGCGCAACCCUUAUCCUUUGUUGCCAGCGGUUCGGCCGGGAACUCAAAGGAGACUGCCAGUGAUAAACUGGAGGAAGGUGGGGAUGACGUCAAGUCAUCAUGGCCCUUACGACCAGGGCUACACACGUGCUACAAUGGCAUAUACAAAGAGAAGCGACCUCGCGAGAGCAAGCGGACCUCAUAAAGUAUGUCGUAGUCCGGAUUGGAGUCUGCAACUCGACUCCAUGAAGUCGGAAUCGCUAGUAAUCGUAGAUCAGAAUGCUACGGUGAAUACGUUCCCGGGCCUUGUACACACCGCCCGUCACACCAUGGGAGUGGGUUGCAAAAGAAGUAGGUAGCUUAACCUUCGGGAGGGCGCUUACCACUUUGUGAUUCAUGACUGGGGUGAAGUCGUAACAAGGUAACCGUAGGGGAACCUGCGGUUGGAUCACCUCCUUA